CCUACGGGAUGCAGCAGUGAGGAAUAUUGGUCAAUGGACGAGAGUCUGAACCAGCCAAGUAGCGUGAAGGAUGACUGCCCUACGGGUUGUAAACUUCUUUUAUCAAGGAAUAAAACGAGGCACGUGUGCCUCUUUGCAUGUACUUUAUGCAUAAGGAUCGGCUAACUCCGUGCCAGCAGCCGCGGUAAUACGGAGGAUCCGAGCGUUAUCCGGAUUUAUUGGGUGUAAAGGGAGCGUAGAGGGGUAGUCAAGUCAGUUGUGAAAGGUUGCGGCUCAACCGUAAGAGUGCAAUUGAUACUGGCAGACUUGAGUACAGUUGAGGUAGGCGGAAUUCGUGGUGUAGCGGUGAAAUGCUUAGAUAUCACGAAGAACCCCGGUUGCGAAGGCAGCUUACUAAACUGUGACUGACAUUGAUGCUCGAAAGUGUGGGUAUCAAACAGGAUUAGAUACCCUUGUAGUC
rnacentral:rRNA from 1 species